CUAUCAACUUUCGAUGGUAGGAUAGUGGCCUACCAUGGUAUCAACGGGUAACGGGGAAUUAGGGUUCUAUUCCGGAGAGGGAGCCUGAGAAACGGCUACCACAUCCAAGGAAGGCAGCAGGCGCGCAAAUUACCCAAUCCCGACACGGGGAGGUAGUGACAAUAAAUACUGAUACAGGGCUCUUUUGGGUCUUGUAAUUGGAAUGAGUACAAUUUAAAUCCCUUAACGAGGAACAAUUGGAGGGCAAGUCUGGUGCCAGCAGCCGCGGUAAUUCCAGCUCCAAUAGCGUAUAUUAAAGUUGUUGCAGUUAAAAAGCUCGUAGUUGGACCUUGGGCCUGGACGGGCGGUCCGCCUCGCGGCGUGUACUGUCCUGCCGGGCCUUUCCUCUUGGUGAUCUGUUGUUUCGGCAGCAGGGAACCAGGACCUUUACUUUGAAAAAAUUAGAGUGUUCAAAGCAGGCUCGACGCCGGAAUAUAUUAGCAUGGAAUAAUAAAAUAGGACGUGCGGUUCUAUUUUGUUGGUUUUUGGAAUCGCCGUAAUGAUUAAUAGGGACAGUCGGGGGCAUUAGUACUCACAUGCUAGAGGUGAAAUUCUUGGAUUUUGUGAAGACUAACUUCUGCGAAAGCAUUUGCCAAGGAUGUUUUCAUUAAUCAAGAUCGAAAGGUAGGAUAUCGAAAACUUAGGCAAACUUGGUCAUCUAGAAGGGGUAAAAGUCGUAACAAGGUAACC
rnacentral:rRNA from 1 species